rnacentral:tRNA from 1 species
GGACCCGUAGCUCAGUUGGUUAGAGCGUUCGGUUCACAUCCGAAAGGUCAGAGGUUCGAAACCUCUCGGGUCUA